CAUGACGGUACCGUAAGAAUAAGCACCGGCUAACUACGUGCCAGCAGCCGCGGUAAUACGUAGGGUGCGAGCGUUAAUCGGAAUUACUGGGCGUAAAGCGUGCGCAGGCGGUUCUGUAAGACAGGCGUGAAAUCCCCGGGCUUAACCUGGGAAUGGCGCUUGUGACUGCAGUGCUGGAGUGUGGCAGAGGGGGAUGGAAUUCCGCGUGUAGCAGUGAAAUGCGUAGAUAUGCGGAGGAACACCGAUGGCGAAGGCAAUCCCCUGGGCCUGCACUGACGCUCAUGCACGAAAGCGUGGGGAGCAAACAGGAUUAGAUACCCUGGUAGUCCACGCCCUAAACGAUGUCAACUGG
rnacentral:rRNA from 1 species